AUUGAACGCUGGCGGCAUGCUUUACACAUGCAAGUCGAACGGCAGCGCGGGGCAACCUGGCGGCGAGUGGCGAACGGGUGAGUAAUAUAUCGGAACGUACCCAGAAGUGGGGGAUAACGUAGCGAAAGUUACGCUAAUACCGCAUACGAUCUACGGAUGAAAGUGGGGGACCUUCGGGCCUCAUGCUUUUGGAGCGGCCGAUAUCUGAUUAGCUAGUUGGUGAGGUAAAGGCUCACCAAGGCGACGAUCAGUAGCUGGUCUGAGAGGACGACCAGCCACACUGGGACUGAGACACGGCCCAGACUCCUACGGGAGGCAGCAGUGGGGAAUUUUGGACAAUGGGGGGCAACCCUGAUCCAGCAAUGCCGCGUGAGUGAAGAAGGCCUC
rnacentral:rRNA from 1 species